ensembl:lncRNA
GGACAGGCCUGAGUUCGCUAUCUAAGGUGAAUGAGUUGGACAGGCCUGAGAUCAGUCUAUAAGGUGAAUGAGUUGGGACAGGCCUGAGAUCAGUCUAUAAGGUGAAGUAGUUGGACACCCCUGAGUUCGCUAUCUAAGGUGAAUGAGUUGGACAGGCCUGAGAUCAGUCUAUAAGGUGAAUGAGUUGGACAGGCCUGAUAUCAGUGUAUGAGAUGAAUGAGUUGGGACAGGCCUGAGAUCAGUCUAUAAGGGGAAUGAGUUUGACAGGCCUGAGAUCAUUCUAUAAGGUGAAUGAGUUGGACAGGCCUGAGAUCAGUCUAUAAGGGGAAUUAGUUGGACAGGCCUGAGAUCAGUCUAUAAGAUGAAUGAGUUGGACAGGCCUGAGAUCAGUCUAUAAGGUGAAUGAGUUGGACAGGCCUGAGAUCAGUCUAUAAGGGGAAUUAGUUGGACACCCCUGAGUUCGCUAUCUAAGGGGAAUGAGUUGGACAGGCCUGAGAUCAGUCUAUAAGAUGAAUGAGUUGGGACAGGCCCGAGAUCAGUCUAUAAGGUGAUUGAGUUGGACAGGCCUGAGAUCAGUCUAUAAGGGGAAUUAGUUGGACACCCCUGAGUUCGCUAUCUAAGGUGAAUGAGUUGGACAGGCCUGAGAUCAGUCUAUAAGGGGAAUUAGUUGGACACCCCUGAGUUCGCUAUCUAAGGGGAAUGAGUUGGACAGGCCUGAGAUCAGUCUAUAAGAUGAAUGAGUUGGGACAGGCCCGAGAUCAGUCUAUAAGGGGAAUUAGUUGGACACCCCUGAGUUCGCUAUCUAAGGUGAAUGAGUUGGACAGGCCUGAGAUCAGUCUAUAAGGGGAAUGAGUUGGACAGGCCUGAGAUCAGUCUAUGAGAUGAAUGAGUUGGACAGGCCUGAGAUCAGUCUAUAAGGGGAAUGAGUUGGACAGGCCUGAGAUCAGUCUAUGAGAUGAAUGAGUUGGGACAGGCCUGAGAUCAGUCUAUAAGAUGAACGUCACUAGACGUCCCGUUUAACGGAUUCCCUUUAUGAUCACAACACCUCAGCACACCUGGAUACACAGGACACCUUUACACACACCUGGUGAGAGUGGACACUUCUGGACACCUUUACACACAGCUGGUGAGAGUGGACACUUCUGGACACCUUUACACACACCUGGUGAGAGUGGACACAUCUAGACACCUGGUGACUCAUCUGGAUUAAUCUAGACACCUGGUGACCCAUCUGGAUUAAUCUAGACACCUGGUGACCCACCUGGAUUAAUCUAGACACCUGGUGACUCAUCUGGAUGAAUCUAGACACCUGGUGACUCAUCUGGAUUAAUCUAGACACCUGGUGACUCAUCUGGAUUAAUCUAGACACCUGGUGACUCAUCUGGACAAUUCUGGACACCUGGUGACUCAUCUGGAUUAAUCUAGACACCUGGUGACACCUGGACACAUCUAGACACCACCUGGUGACCCAUCUAGACACCUGGUGACUCAUCUGGACACAUCUAGACACCUGGUGACCCAUCUGGAUUAAUCUAGACACCUGGUGACUCAUCUGGAUUAAUCUAGACACCUGGUGACCCAUCUAUAUUAAUCUAGACACCUGGUGACCCAUCUAGACACCUGGUGACCCAUCUGGAUUAAUUUAGACACCUGGUGACCCAUCUGGAUUAAUCUAGACACCUGGUGACACCUGGACACAUCUAGACACCUGGUGACCCAUCUGGAUUAAUCUAGACACC